rnacentral:rRNA from 1 species
UACGUAGGGGGCAAGCGUUAUCCGGAUUUACUGGGUGUAAAGGGAGCGUAGACGGCAGUGCAAGUCUGGAGUGAAAGGCGGGGGCUCAACCCCCGGACUGCUCUGGAAACUGUACGGCUGGAGUGCAGGAGAGGAGAGCGGAAUUCCAUGUGUAGCGGUGAAAUGCGUAGAUAUAUGGAGGAACACCGGUGGCGAAAGCGGCUCUCUGGCCUGUAACUGACACUGAGGCUCGAAAGCGUGGGGAGCAAACAGG